rnacentral:rRNA from 1 species
UACAGAGGGUGCGAGCAUUAAUCGGAAUUACUGGGCGUAAAGCGUGCGUAGACGGUCAUGUAAGUCGGGUGUGAAAGCCCCGGGCUCAACCUGGGAAUUGCAUUCGAGACUGCAUGGCUAGGAUGCGGAAGAGGGAAGCGGAAUUCCUGGUGUAGCGGUGAAAUGCGCAGAUAUCAGGAGGAACACCGGUGGCGAAGGCGGAUCUCUGGGCCUUACCUGACGCUGAGGCGCGAAAGCUAGGGGAGCGAACAGG